rnacentral:rRNA from 1 species
UACGUAGGGGGCAAGCGUUGUCCGGAAUCAUUGGGCGUAAAGAGCGCGUAGGCGGCCCAGUAAGUCCGCUCUGAAAGUCAGGGGCUCAACCCCUGAAUGCGGGUGGAUACUGCUGGGCUAGAGUCCGGAAGAGGCGAGUGGAAUUCCUGGUGUAGCGGUGAAAUGCGCAGAUAUCAGGAGGAACACCAAUGGCGAAGGCAGCUCGCUGGGACGUGACUGACGCUGAGACGCGAAAGCGUGGGGAGCAAACAGG